ACACUCCUACGGGAGGCAGCAGUGGGGAAUAUUGGACAAUGGGCGCAAGCCUGAUCCAGCCAUGCCGCGUGAGUGAUGAAGGCCCUAGGGUUGUAAAGCUCUUUCACCGGUGAAGAUAAUGACGGUAACCGGAGAAGAAGCCCCGGCUAACUUCGUGCCAGCAGCCGCGGUAAUACGAAGGGGGCUAGCGUUGUUCGGAUUUACUGGGCGUAAAGCGCACGUAGGCGGACUAUUAAGUCAGGGGUGAAAUCCCGGGGCUCAACCCCGGAACUGCCUUUGAUACUGGUAGUCUUGAGUUCGAGAGAGGUGAGUGGAAUUCCGAGUGUAGAGGUGAAAUUCGUAGAUAUUCGGAGGAACACCAGUGGCGAAGGCGGCUCACUGGCUCGAUACUGACGCUGAGGUGCGAAAGCGUGGGGAGCAAACAGGAUUAGAAACCCUAGUAGUCC
rnacentral:rRNA from 1 species